GAUUAAAAUAUGUAUGUAAUAUAUAUGGAUGAGAUCUGAAUUUUCUUAUAGGACAAUAUUUCUAAUAGUUAGAAUCUAAUUUUGAACGGGAUUAAGAACGUGGAAGUUCACAAAGGAGAAUUCCAAUUGGAAUCGAAUUCCAUGAAGAGUCGGCUAUCAAAUUUCCAGCAUGUGAUUUGCACUUUCCAUCAUGUGAUUUGUUAUCUAAAAAGUUUUGCACAAUCGAAAAAAUUUAAAACAAGACUCUUAAUAUGUACAGUUCUAGAUUCGAUUUAUAACAAAAAUUUUUGCCUAAAAUAAUUAUUAUCUUUCGUUGCAUGUUAAGAACAUCUAUAUGCAAUUUUACAAAACCCAAUUUUGGUAAACAACCAUAUCGCAUAGUGAUUCUUGAUGAUAAACACUAACUUGUAACGUGGUACUCUAAUAAGUGAUCCACUUAUUAACUAUAUUAUAAGUGAGGAACUUCCGUUUUAUGCACCGAUGAUGUAAAAUUAUUUAAACAAUCAGGUGUAAGGUAAUACACGUGAAUCUCUAUAAUAAGCAUUAAUUAGAGUAGAAUAAUUUCACACCACCGCUGAACAUAAUUAAAAUCCAAGAAAGAAAGUAAAAGGUCAGUCUGUUGUGCUAAGCUUCCGUUAUGCGCGAGAUCCGAAAAUAGACCGGACCACAAGGGUCUAUUGUACGAAUCUUAUCCUGCAAUUUUACGAGAAACUAUUUUCACGGCAACUUUACUAGUUACGUCAAGACUUAAAAAAAAAUAAUUUAAAUAAUCGAUUAACAAGAAACAGUAGAAAUUCUAACCUGUUUAGCCCAAUGCAACUGAAAAUCAGGCGUAAACAACUGUUUCAACAUGGCAAUAUUAAACAAAUAGCCAUCAAUUGAAUCAUGUUUUGUAAUUGGAUCCCUAAACUUCACAGAAUCAUCAUAUGCCGUACGAUCAAUACCUUGAUCAUCAAAAAGAUGAGGCAAAUCCUCAUAUAAAAAUUCAACUAAUUGUUUCAUAUCAACUGUUGGUUUUUCUGUAGGGCUCUGUUUAUUAACUAAACUAAACUUAAUUAACCACUUGAAUUUUCUGUCAUAUUUAAGAGUUUUUGUUUUGAUAUUUUUUGGGGCACUAAUUGUUUCAUAUCAACUGUUGGUUUCUUGGUUGGGCUCUGUUUAUCAACGAAACUAAACUUAAUUAACCACUUGAAUUUUCUAUCAGAUUUAAAAGUUUCUGUUUUGAUAUAAUUGGGGGGAGUGAGGAAUACUGAAGCUGGGAGGCAUUGCCGGAAAAAGGUGUGCCGGUGCCGGAAAGUGUGGCCGGAAAGUUGUGAGGUGGCCAUUUGUAUUUAGUAAUGAUAUUUUUGGUGUUGCAUUGUUUCAAAAGGACGUCUUUGGCUUACGUGUAAUAAGUGUUGACCAUAGAAAGGAUUGGUUGUGAUUUAUUGCAGUUCCCUUAUUAGUCUUUUUUUUUAAUAAAAAAAACUUCCUUCUAAUCUUAAACAUAUCAAUAAAUAUUUAUGAGACUAUAAAAUCAUAUCAAUAAAGGUAAAUUGAAUUUAAAGUUUUAUAGUUUUCAAAUUAUAAAACAAAUAAUAAAUUCAAUGUAAUAUUACUAAUAAAAUCUCGAAAGAAUAGUGUAUGCGCACACCUUAUCCUACUUUGAAAAGGUAGAGAAACUGUUUCCGAUACAUUCACUCAAAACAAAUAGAUUAAAUGAUUGAAUAAAACGCGUCGACACCAAACUAAAUUGUGAUUUGGUAUCCUUAAAUUGAUUUACAAAAGAACGAGACACUAAUACACAAUUAAGGUACUCCAAGUGAUUCACUUAUAACUAUAUUAUAGACGUCGCGCUUAAUUUAGGCACUAUAGCAAUAAUGAUAAAUUCAAUAUAAUUUCACAAGUAAGGUUUGAGAAAGAUAAUGUGUACGAAGAUCUUACGACUACCUCAUACAGGCAGAAAAAUUGUUUCCAAUAGACCUUCGACUUAAAAAUAAUGUGUACGCAAAUCAUAUCAUAAGGUAAUCCAAGUGAUUCCCUAUAGUAAUUCCCUAUAGAGGAACUGACAGUGCAAAUACACAAUCAUAUCAUAAGGUAAUUCUAAGUGAUUCUUGAUGAAAAACAUUAAUUUAUAACAUGGUACUCGAAGUAAUUGUGGAACUUUCAUUUUAUGGACUAACAAUGUAAAAUUAUUUAUACAAUUAGGUUAGUUAUAACUCAUAUAAGGUAAUUACACGCGAAUCUCAAUAAUAAACAUUAACUAGAGUAGAAUAAUUUCACACCAUCACUGAACAUAACUAAAAUCCAAAAAAGAAAGAAAAAGAACAGUUCGGUGUACUAAGUUUUCGUUAUGUACGUGGUUCGAAAAAAGGCCGGACCACAACGAUUUAUUGUACACAAUCUUAACCUCCAUUUCUACAAGAGGCUGUUUCCACGCCUCGAACACAUGACUUUUUGAUCACCUAACAGCAAUUUUUUCGAUUGAGACCUUAACAAUUUUAUCAGUUACGCCACGGCUCCCGUCUAACUUAAAUCCAAGUAAGAAAGUUAAACAAACAGCAGUUUAAAUAACCAAUUAACAAGAAGCUGUAGAAAUUCUAACCUGUUUAGCCCUAUGCAACUGAAAUCAGGCCCAACCAACUGUUUCAACAUUUGUUUGUAGUACGGAUGCUUUUGGAUGUUUUAAAAGGAUGUCUUUGGCUUACGUGUAAUACAUAUUGAUCAUACAAAGGCUUGGUUGUGAUUUAUUGCAGAUUCCUUAUUUGUUUUUUCUUUUAAAUUCUUUUGAUUAAGUAUAAAUUAUAAUAUAGGAAUAAUUUUAGAUACACUCAAUUUGACUUUUUCAUAAUACCAAUUCCCCUUGUAAUUUACAAUAUUAAGCUUACCUUUCUUGUUUUUAUUUUUCUAAACAAUAUUUUAGAAGAAUAAU
rnacentral:lncRNA from 1 species